UUUUCUACCGCGGCAAAUUAA
rnacentral:piRNA from 1 species